rnacentral:lncRNA from 1 species
UCAGCUUGAAUAGACCGAAGAAAUUUCUCGCAGUUCGUGGGGAGGAAAAAUGUUCUCCAUCUGUGAGGCCAGAAAUACUGGCUCAGCUGCCCUGGGGCGGGGGCAGGGGUGUCCUACAGGCUCAACCCCCAGGCUCCGCUGUUCCUUCUGGGGAGGCCGGAGUUGAGUCACAGAUCACUGUGAGGCCUCGUCUGCGCUGCAGAAAAUGAGUUUGACCCAUGGAAAGAAUCUUACCCUAUUUCCUUUGGAUGAUGCUGGUAUAAAAAUGCAUGCUUCACACAAUCAACCUUUCGGACAAAGGAUUCUGACAGAAGGUCUGGCCACAGUGAUGAGGGCAACAUGGACCCCAAAGCCCGUCCGCCUUUUUGAAAUUCUGCUGGUCAUCAAUGCGACUGCU